rnacentral:ncRNA from 1 species
UACCUGGUUGAUCCUGCCAGUAGUCAUAUGCUUGUCUCAAAGAUUAAGCCAUGCAAGUCUAAGUACGAGCUCUCGUACAGUGAAACUGCGAAUGGCUCAUUAAAUCAGUUAUGGUUCAUUUGAUCGUACAGUUUACUUGGAUAACUGUGGUAAUUCUAGAGCUAAUACAUGCGAGAAGCGCCGACCUCGCGGGAGGCGUGCAUUUAUCAGACCAAAAACCGGCCGCGUCUUCGGGCGCGUUCGCCUUGGUGACUCUGGAUAACUUUGCGGAUCGCACGGUCUAGCACCGGCGACGGAUCAUUCAAGUGUCUGCCCUAUCAACUUUCGACGGUACGGUAUUUGCCUACCGAGGUUCUUACGGGUGACGGGGAAUCAGGGUUCGAUUCCGGAGAGGGAGCCUGAGAAACGGCUACCACAUCCAAGGAAGGCAGCAGGCGCGCAAAUUACCCAUUCCCGACGCGGGGAGGUAGUGACGAAAAAUAACAAUGCAGGACUCGUUCGAGGCCCUGUAAUUGGAAUGAGUACACUUUAAAAGCUUUAACGAGUAUCCAUUGGAGGGCAAGUCUGGUGCCAGCAGCCGCGGUAAUUCCAGCUCCAAAAGUAUAUAUUUAAGUUGUUGCGGUUAAAAAGCUCGUAGUUGGAUUUUGGGCGCAGGCGGCCGGUCCGUCGCAAGGCGUGUACUGGACG